CCUACGGGAGGCAGCAGUGAGGAAUAUUGGUCAAUGGACGAGAGUCUGAACCAGCCAAGUAGCGUGAAGGAUGACUGCCCUAUGGGUUGUAAACUUCUUUUAUAUGGGAAUAAAAUGUUCCACGUGUGGGAUUUUGUAUGUACCAUAUGAAUAAGGAUCGGCUAACUCCGUGCCAGCAGCCGCGGUAAUACGGAGGAUCCGAGCGUUAUCCGGAUUUAUUGGGUUUAAAGGGAGCGUAGGUGGGUUGUUAAGUCAGUUGUGAAAGUUUGCGGCUCAACCGUACAAUUGCAGUUGAAACUGGCAGUCUUGAGUACAGUAGAGGUGGGCGGAAUUCGUGGUGUAGCGGUGAAAUGCUUAGAUAUCACGAAGAACUCCGAUUGCGAAGGCAGUUCACUGGACUGCAACUGACGCUGAGGCUCGAAAGUGUGGGUAUCAAACAGGAUUAGAUACCCCUGUAGUC
rnacentral:rRNA from 1 species